ACAACAAAUUUGUAAAAAAUAAUCUUAAGAUCCCACUUGUCAAUUUCUAAACAUAAAAAUAUCUCUCUAUUGCUAUUAUGACUUGAGCUUUCAAACAGCUGCAAAUGGUGAUUGAUAGGAAAGCCCACCCCUGCCCCGCUUUGUACCCAACGAUUGGCUCUGAAUAACUCUCCAUAGUUCAUGUAAUUUCUGUGAAAGUAAGCCAAAUUCUGUCCAUUCUUCAUGAAAUUUCUAGAGAGCCCAGAUGCCCUAAUUUGUUCUGUUAAUAAAUUCCGACCAUGACUGAUCUAAUUGAUCAGUAUUCUGCCAUUACAACAUCUCUGGACUGCUACAGUCGAUCCAUAUUGUGGAAGCAAAAAUGGGGUCUUAUUACGUUGUAAAGGAUGAUGGACCAGGGGACGGGUUUAAAUUUCUGGUGGCUUUGCUGAUGGCAAUGAUGUUUAUGGUGUUGUGUAUGAACAAUCCCAGGCCUCGUCGGCGUAGGGCACAUAUGCUCAUGCGGGUUAACUGAAAGUUAAAUUCAGGGUAUGCAGCAUUUCCCUUCUCAUUUUCUGUAAUCUUCUGGCAUGAAGAAUGGUAGCUUAGGGUUUUUAUGUUGUACUGUUGUAGAAGUGAACUAGUUUGGGUUUCUACUCAGAAGGGUAAAUUGUGUAGGUAUGUAAGAGGUUACAAUUCAAUUGAUGUAUGUCAUAUCAUCAAUUUGAUAUAAAUUUUGAAUAUAUGAGUUAUAUUAUAGUUUGAA